rnacentral:pre_miRNA from 1 species
ACAGGACAAUGACCUAUGAUUUGACAGACAGUGUGGCUCNNUGCGUGUGUCUGUCAUUCUGUAGGCCAAUAUUCUGU